rnacentral:rRNA from 1 species
UGGGGAAUCUUGGACAAUGGGGGCAACCCUGAUCCAGCGACGCCGCGUGGGUGGUAAGGCCUUCGGGUUGUAAAGCCCUUUCAGUCGUGACGAUGAUGACGGUAGCGACAGAAGAAGCCCCGGCUAACUCCGUGCCAGCAGCCGCGGUAAUACGGAGGGGGCAAGCGUUGUUCGGAUUUACUGGGCGUAAAGGGCGCGUAGGCGGACGGUCAAGUCAGAGGUGAAAGGCCCGGGCUCAACCUGGGACGUGCCUUUGAAACUGAUUGUCUUGAGUGCGGAAGAGGGUGACGGAAUUCCCAGUGUAGAGGUGAAAUUCGUAGAUAUUCGGAAGAACACCAGUGGCGAAGGCGGCUCACUGGCCCGGUACUGACGCUGAGGUGCGAAAGUGUGGGGAGCAAACAGGAUUAGAUACCCCCGUAGUCC